rnacentral:rRNA from 1 species
CCUACGGGAGGCAGCAGUGAGGAAUAUUGGUCAAUGGACGAGAGUCUGAACCAGCCAAGUAGCGUGAAGGAUGACUGCCCUAUGGGUUGUAAACUUCUUUUAUAUGGGAAUAAAAUGUUCCACGUGUGGGAUUUUGUAUGUACCAUAUGAAUAAGGAUCGGCUAACUCCGUGCCAGCAGCCGCGGUAAUACGGAGGAUCCGAGCGUUAGCCGGAUUUAUUGGGUUUAAAGGGAGCGUAGGUGGAUUGUUAAGUCAGUUGUGAAAGUUUGCGGCUCAACCGUAAAAUUGCAGUUGAAACUGGCAGUCUUGAGUACAGUAGAGGUGGACGGAAUUCGUGGUGUAGCGGUGAAAUGCUUAGAUAUCACGAAGAACUCCGAUUGCGAAGGCAGUUCACUGGACUGCAACUGACACUGAGGCUCGAAAGUGUGGGUAUCAAACAGGAUUAGAUACCCCUGUAGUC